GUAUUAGGUUGGUGCAAAAGUAAUUGCAGUUUUUGCCAUUACAUUGAAGAGUAAAAACCACAAUUACUUUUGCACCAACCUAAUA
rnacentral:miRNA from 1 species